GAAUGCAAAAAAAAAGGGGAAUACCAUGGAUAGCUUGGAAGAGAUUACAAUACUCGAAAAAGGAAGGUGGUUUAGGGUUUAGAGAUUUGGCUAAAUUCAAUGAUGCUUUACUUGCAAAACAAGUAUGGCGGAUCAUUAACAACCCAAAUUCUUUAUUUGCCCGAAUAAUGAAAGCAAGAUACUUUAGAGAAGACUAUUCUUGACGCUAAAAGGCAGAGAUAUCAAUCUUACGGAUGGACUUCUAUGCUUGCGGGUUUAGAUGUAAUUAAAAAAGGAAGCAGAUUCAUUGUCGGAGAUGGCAAAACCAUUCGAAUCAGUCAAGAUAAUUUUGUUGCAUCGCACCCUCCACGACCUCUUAACGUCGUCACUCCUACGUUGGAUACCACGGUGGAUACGUUAAUCUCAACUCAUGGUUCGCAUAGGUAUUGGAACGUACAUCUCAUUUCUCAGCUUGUUAAUCCCGACGACCACCGUUUUGUUAUGAACCAUCAUCUUUCCAGGACAGUGCAUCAAGAUAAGCUAGUUUGGAACUACUCUCCUUCUGGGGAUUAUACAGUUAAGUUCGGGUACUGGUUUCUCUUUAAUGACCCAACGAAUAUUCAAGUUAGACCAGCGGUGCCUUAUGGUUCAGUGGAAAUUAAGAACAAGCUUUGGAAACUCCCUAUUAUUCCAAAAAUCAAGUACAUGCUUUGGCGUACAAUUUCAAAAGCAUUACCAACACGCUCACGACUUCUCACUCGAGGAAUGGACAUCGAUCCACACUGCCCCAGAUGCCCAACUGAAGAAGAGACGAUAAACCAUGUAUUAUUUACGUGUCCUUAUGCUGCGUCGAUUUGGAGCCUAUCAAACUUCCCUUGGUUACCGGGUCAUACUUUCUCUCAAGACACAGAGGAGAAAAUUUCUUUCCUUAUCAAUUCGUUUUCAAGCAAUACUCUUAAUACAGAGCAAAGGUUAGCCCCAUUUUGGCUCAUAUGGAGGUUAUGGAAAGCACGCAAUAAUCUUGUGUUUAAUAAGUUCAAUGAAAGUUGCUCAAGGGUUGUGACACAAACUGAAGCAAAAGUCAAUGAAUGGUUACAAAAUGUGAACCGAAGAGAGGAAGCUUCCGAUUUAACACGAUCAUCGCACAGGGCAAACGUGCGGUGGAAGAAACCGGUGUUUCCUUUAGUAAAGUGCAACUUCAAUGCGGGUUUCACGGGUAAUAAUACUCAGAGAACAGGAGGGUGGAUCAUACGUGAUCAUGCGGGAUUAGCGAAGGCUUGAGGAUCAUCAAUAGUCCAAAACGUUACCACUGCUUUGGAAGCUGAGACAAAAGCGCUAUUAAUCGCAAUGCAACAAGCAUGGGUACGAGGGUAUAAGUGUGUUCAAUUCGAAGGUGAUUGUGAGAUCCUUAUUAAAGCAAUCAAUGGUGCAACUUCUAGAUGUGAAAUAACCAGUCUUCUCCGAAAUGUGGAUUUUUGGGCAUCAAGAUUUUCUAAUGUGGUUUUCACUUUCACAAAUAGACUCUGUAAUAAUACUGCUCACCUCUUAGCUUCUCCACUUAAUUCGUGUUACAUGUUUCAAUCGAAUUCUGGUUAUCAGCCACUUUGGCUCAAGAACUCUCUUUGUAAAGAUUUACUCAUAUAAAUAAAUUCUGUUUGUUGGAAAAAACAAAAAAAAUUGUUAAAGUUAAUACACUUGCAAUUCAAAAAUAAAGUGGCAGUAACUAAAAUGACUCAUCUUCUUUACAUAUUAAGUUAUCUCCCAUCUUAUUCCCAACUU
rnacentral:sRNA from 1 species